CGGAAUCUGCAGAACCUGAGUACUGGAGAGGAUAGUGGAUUCCUAGUGUAGGCGGUAAGAUGCGUAGAUAUUAGCAGUAUCAGCAGUGGGGGAGGCUGACUAUUCUGGACAGCACCUGACGCUGAGGGCGCGUAUAGUCGUGGGGAGCAAACAGGAUUAGAUAUCGUGGUAGUUCACGCGGUAAACGAUGAGUGCUAGGUGUAGCGGGUAUCGACCCAUGCUGUGCCGGAGUUAACACAAUAAGCACUCCGCUUGGGGAGUACGGCCGCAAGGUUGAAACUCAAAGGAAUUGACGGGGGCCCGCACAAGCAGCGGAGCAUGUGGUUUAAUUCGAAGCAACGCGAAGAACCUUACCAGGUCUUGACAUCGAGGCAAAGCGGUAGAGAUACCGUGUUCAGCAAUGAAGCCGAAGACAGGUGGUGCAUGGUUGUCGUCAGCUCGUGUCGUGAGAUGUUGGGUUAAGUCCCGCAACGAGCGCAAC
rnacentral:rRNA from 1 species